UGGGGAAUAUUGCACAAUGGAGGAAACUCUGAUGCAGCAACGCCGCGUGAGUGAUGAAGGUCUUCGGAUCGUAAAGCUCUUUGAUUGGGGACGAUAAUGACGGUACCCAAAGAACAAGCCACGGCUAACUACGUGCCAGCAGCCGCGGUAAUACGUAGGUGGCGAGCGUUGUCCGGAUUUACUGGGCGUAAAGGAUGCGUAGGUGGAAACUUAAGUGGGAUGUGAAAUCCCUGGGCUCAACCCAGGAACUGCAUUCCAAACUGGGUAUCUAGAGUGCAGGAGAGGAAAGCGGAAUUCCUAGUGUAGCGGUGAAAUGCGUAGAUAUUAGGAAGAACAUCAGUGGCGAAGGCGGCUUUCUGGACUGUAACUGACACUGAGGCAUGAAAGCGUGGGGAGCAAACAGG
rnacentral:rRNA from 1 species